GACGAACGCUGGCGGCGUGCUUAACACAUGCAAGUCGAACGGAAAGGCCCUGCUUUUGUGGGGUGCUCGAGUGGCGAACGGGUGAGUAACACGUGAGUAACCUGCCCUUGACUUUGGGAUAACUUCAGGAAACUGGGGCUAAUACCGGAUAGGAGCUCCUGCUGCAUGGUGGGGGUUGGAAAGUUUCGGCGGUUGGGGAUGGACUCGCGGCUUAUCAGCUUGUUGGUGGGGUAGUGGCUUACCAAGGCUUUGACGGGUAGCCGGCCUGAGAGGGUGACCGGCCACAUUGGGACUGAGAUACGGAGCAGACUCCUACGGGAGGCAGCAGUGGGGAAUAUUGCACAAUGGGCGGAAGCCUGAUGCGGCAACGCCGCGUGCGGGAUGACGGCCUUCGGGUUGUAAACCGCUUUCGCCUGUGACGAAGCGUGAGUGACGGUAAUGGGUAAAGAAGCACCGGCUAACUACGUG
rnacentral:rRNA from 1 species